rnacentral:rRNA from 1 species
CCUACGGGGGGCAGCAGUGAGGAAUAUUGGUCAAUGGACGAGAGUCUGAACCAGCUAAGUAGCGUGAAGGAUGACUGCCCUAUGGGUUGUAAACUUCUUUUAUAUGGGCAUAAAAUGUUCCACGUGUGGGAUUUUGUAUGUACCAUAUGAAUAAGGAUCGGCUAACUCCGUGCCAGCCGCCGCGGUAAUACGGAGGAUGCGAGCGUUAUCCGGAUUUAUUGGGUUUAAAGGGAGCGUAGGUGGAUUGUUAAGUCAGUUGUGAAAGUUUGGGGCUUAACCGGAGAAUGGAAGUUGAAACUGGCAGUCUUGAGUACAGUAGAGGGGGGCGGAAUUCGUGGUGUAGCAGUGAAAUGCUUAGAUAUGACGAAGAACACCGAUUGCGAAGGCAGCUCACUGGACUGCAACUGACACUGAGGCUCGAAAGUGUGGGUAUCAAACAAGAUUAGAUACCCUGGUAGUC